rnacentral:lncRNA from 1 species
GGGAAGUAAGGGUUGGUUACUGGAGGUUCUCGGUUAGUGGCGGGUCGUCCUGCGCCGGCUGGCGUUCGGAGAAAACUGCCCUUUUUCUUCUCCAGUACUCCCUUGCUGCCCAUCUUGGGAUGGAUCCCUAGGCUUCCUAGGAUCAGGGAAGGAUUAGGUGAGGUGCAAGAGUGCGCUAAGGGACUGACCUAAAGAACUGCCUUUGGUGGAAUGCUGGAUAGGUUACUCCGAAAGCGUGCAAUGGAAUUGCUCUGUGACUGAAGCAUUGUAAAGAUUUGAUUGAUUUCUUAUAAUCUGAUAUUUCUGAACCCAUGGACAGUAAUAUUGAAACGCCUUUAUCACAUCUUUUGGAACAUUUGGAUGGUAAGUGGAAAAUUAAACAAAUGAAAAACGAUGCUGUCUUCAACUCCAGAGAAAAUAGAAGAUUGUACAAUAAGGGGAAAAAUCAUAGCCUACUACUUAGCUCUUUAACAAAGAGUAUUUGGAUAGUCAUAAUGGAAACUCUGCUGAUUUAAUAAAAAUUUAAGGUUUUAUCAGACAAGAAUGGAU